UUGUAAUGACUGUGUUUUCUCUAGGCGAACACCUUCACUUGUAGCUUCUACUCGUAUCUUGUUAAAGGGAGAAAGGCUGGGUACUGUGACCUCAGACCUCUAUAAAGUCACUCAGUGACCAGUUGCUUUGGUGUACAGGCUGGGGAAACCCGCUUCGAUAAAAAGGGCAAUUAACAGAUGUUUAUUCCUCUGAAGUUCCUGCAAAAUCAGAAGCAAAAGGAAGACCCGAUGGUGGGUGAACAAAAAAUUUAUACCUGGCCUCGCUAGAAAGUGGAAGAAGCAGGAGAGAUGAAUAUCUUAUCAGGAGGCGAGCAAUAAAUUUACAUCUGAAUGUAUAAACUACAGAAGUGUGCGCUUUGAGACAUCGUCACACGAUUUACUGUAAUGUUCAGCGGUGGACGGCGCUGGGAAUGGAGGAAUCUAUCAUCUCAGAAUUGCUGCCACAGAAAUGGCUCAAAUAUCCAUCAGGCUCAUAUCAGCUUGCGAGCUGCUGAAGGCUAUCCAAGAUUUGCUGCCAUCUCAAGAUAAACGGAGG